rnacentral:lncRNA from 1 species
GGUAACUUACCGACCGAAGUGCUAGCUGAUAUUUUAUGCUUUUAGCAUUAAGGGUCGGUCAUUGUUCUUCAAGAACAAACGCAGGCUGAAGGAUCUCAGAACAAUAUAGAUUCAUGGAUAACGAAAACGGAGCAGCUCCUGAGUGAUGACCUAUCGGCAGAGCGGUUGGCUGUGAUCGCCGACAUUUUACGCUUUUAGCCUUGAGGGUUUGCCUCCAAGAGCAAAGGUAGGUUGAAGGAUAUCGGAGUUACCUAUCACAAGUCAAAGAUGAUAGUCUUCAUAUAUUUAAAGUUUAGUUUUUGGCGAAGAGAGAUACUGCUGCCGCAUCUUAACAUUGGUCACAUACAUCCACUGCUACUUUGUGAACAACAAACAAAAAGAAUUACAAACAGAAGAGCCAAAGCCCACUCCCCUUGAACCAUAGAAUUUGCACCAAGCUCUUGCAAUUCGAAGUCGAAUUGAGAGAGAGAGAGGGAAAACUUACAACUUCUGAUCGGAGUAAAGGUCAUUCUCAACUUGGAUGAGACAGGAGACCACAAGAAGAAAUUAUCACAAUAGCAAUGGAAAUUAAAAAUGGAUGGAUUCUAUCCGUUUCUAAUUUGCAAUUGAGUUAUAACAGAACACAAAUUUACAUUUAUUUUCCACUCUGAAAAGUAUUUUCACAAUUUUUAAUAUUUAAAGUCCUAAAAAAAUUAGUCAAUAUAAAAUAAUUUCUUAAUAAGGGAGAAUGAAAUUAAUUUUAAUUUUAGAAUCUUAUUAAAUUAAUUUAUUUUAUAUUUAAUAAAAUUAUAAUUUUAAUUACAUUUUUAUCGGUAAUGAAAAAAUAAGUAAAUUUUUACUUUAAACUAUAACAGCAAAAAUAAAAUAUAAAAAAUUUUAAUCGUUAUUAUUGACUCACAACUAUUAAGUAUAUAAGAUAAUAAUUUUCUGCCAUUGCCUUAUAUCUAUUUUUUGUAACUAUAAUUUUGAUUACGUCAUAUAGCAAAUGUAGCAUAAGAGAGUUCUAUAAACAACUAUUGAUGCUAAUUGUUAAUUUACUUUGAGAAUCAAUGGAGUAGAAUUAAAGGUAAAAGAAAGGAGCAGCAGAUUCCAGGAAGAAGGAGAAACCCAAAUAAUUUGUCUCAAAAAGGCAAAAGAUUCUCCAUAGCAAAAAGGGUGUGGUAGACUUGUAUUUGGGAUGUCAAAUCUCAAGAAAUUAAUGGCAAUGAGUAAAAAAAAAAACCAAAACUAAUAGACAAAUGAGAAAGAUCAGCUUUUUAUUUCUUACACUCCACACUGUAAGAGGAAAUGUCAUCUAUUCAUGGGAGCUUAAAGAGAGAGAGAGAGAGAGAGACAUUGAAAGGUGGAGCACAAAAUAAUGCAUAUGGCAUAGUAAUAGUAACAGUGAAAGUAAUAGUAGUAUAGCUACUAGAGAGAUGACUUUUUUUCUUCCUUUUCUUUUCUUUUCUUUUCUUUUCUUUCCUUUUUCUUGCCUUUUCUUGAACACUUGAAUGUGUAUCUUUCCAUUUUAUUGCUGUAAUAUUUGAUCCAUCUUUUCUUUAUCAUUGUUUGUUGCUGUGCAUGCAGGAAGAAGAACAGAGAAAAAAACAACAAAAGUUUCAGAUUUAAGAAUAAGUGAGAGAGAGGAGAUUCCUGUGAUAGAUUUAUGUGGGGACUGGAGAGCUUCUGCAAAGUAAGAUUUCUCCAGUGGAGUGGUUUCCAUAUCUAACAAUGGAAUUAAAAGAUGGAAAAAAAAUCCACCAAAUAUUUUAAAAAAAAAAUAAAAGGAGAAAAAUUUCCCCUUUUGCAUUUGUGGACAAAGGGAUCUUCAAUGCAUGAACCUUAAGCAAUCUCUCUCUCAUUUGUGAAGAAGGGAUCAAGAUCCCAUGAACUGUAAUAUUCUAG